UGCAGUCGAGCGGGGAAAGGUAGCUUGCUACCUGACCUAGCGGCGGACGGGUGAGUAAUGCUUAGGAAUCUGCCUAUUAGUGGGGGACAACAUUCCGAAAGGAAUGCUAAUACCGCAUACGCCCUACGGGGGAAAGCAGGGGAUCUUCGGACCUUGCGCUAAUAGAUGAGCCUAAGUCAGAUUAGCUAGUUGGUGGGGUAAAGGCCUACCAAGGCGACGAUCUGUAGCGGGUCUGAGAGGAUGAUCCGCCACACUGGGACUGAGACACGGCCCAGACUCCUACGGGAGGCAGCAGUGGGGAAUAUUGGACAAUGGCGAAAGCCUGAUCCAGCCAUGCCGCGUGUGUGAAGAAGGCCUUUUGGUUGUAAAGCACUUUAAGCGAGGAGGAGGCUACUUGGAUUAAUACUCUAGGAUAGUGGACGUUACUCGCAGAAUAAGCACCGGCUAACUCUGUGCCAGCAGCCGCGGUAAUACAGAGGGUGCGAGCGUUAAUCGGAUUUACUGGGCGUAAAGCGUGCGUAGGCGGCUUUUUAAGUCGGAUGUGAAAUCCCUGAGCUUAACUUAGGAAUUGCAUUCGAUACUGGGAAGCUAGAGUAUGGGAGAGGAUGGUAGAAUUCCAGGUGUAGCGGUGAAAUGCGUAGAGAUCUGGAGGAAUACCGAUGGCGAAGGCAGCCAUCUGGCCUAAUACUGACGCUGAGGUACGAAAGCAUGGGGAGCAAACAGGAUUAGAUACCCUGGUAGUCCAUGCCGUAAACGAUGUCUACUAGCCGUUGGGGCCUUUGAGGCUUUAGUGGGCAGCUAACGCGAUAAGUAGACCGCCUGGGGAGUACGGUCGCAAGACUAAAACUCAAUGAAUUGACGGUGGCCCGCACAAUCGG
rnacentral:rRNA from 1 species